CCAUGGAUUGAUUUGAUGUUAGGCAUCUUGAAAUCGGAUUGAUUUCACCGUUAAACUAAAGCUAAAUAAUGAAAUUACUAAAAUAUCGACGAAAUCACUAAACAUCGACGCGAGCGUAAAGCAUUGUCCAUUCGCAAUUGCACUCCAUUGCAACACUCAAUAAUCACUAUAUUCAGUCAAGAAAACGAAAAAAAAAGAAACUUAAGGCAGAGUCUACAAUUCGCGCAUCCACUCCACUCGUAUUAGCUUGGCUCCCCUCGAUUAAUCCUCGCCGGUUCAUCUUCUCAAGGUGUCAAUAUCCAGGUGGAUUCAUAUCUUGUCUUUACAAGAGUGACAUUAUACUCCCUGACAUAUAAACCUACAAAAGAACGAGACUCACGUAUCAAUGACUGCGAUAUCAUUGGCAUGCAUCUUUCUCGGCUUCAUCACCAAUUCAAAAAAAAUCACAAGUGAUUCACAAGAACUUAAACACAUUUUCACCAAUUCGAACACACGCGCAGCUACACUAUACUACCUCCAUUUCAUAUUAUAAAACUUUAUAGUAUUGUCUAAAUUCAUCAAUUGAUAAAUAUAUUUAUAUAUAUAUAGAUUUAUUAUUGUUCAUAUAAAUAUAGGCAAGACUAGAAAAUAAGCACCUGGAGAGGUCACGAGAAGCCGUCCUUGCGGUCCUGCUCCUCCGCCUCCCUGUUGGCCGUCUGCACGGCCUUGAACCACAGGAAUCCCUGCAAACAAAACAAAAAAAGACGCAAUCGAAUCCAUGGAAAUUUGAGUUCUUGGCAAUGCAUGCAGGUGGGGG
rnacentral:lncRNA from 1 species